rnacentral:lncRNA from 1 species
CCAGUGACACCAAGCAGCAUGUAGUGGCUACCCAGCAGAAUAGAAUGGUGAACCUCUAGGUGCAGUUAUUAUGUGAUACAGUCCUUCUAUCGUGGAUCCCUAUAGGACGGAGGUCAUGGACAACUCGUCAAACCCCAUCGUCUGUCAUAUGUCAAGAUUUAUUCGACUUAAUGUUCGAGAGCGGAGAACUCUUUCUCUACUGUGCAAUCUGCCCCGGCCGAGGUCUUACGAACUCAGUCUUAUAAAUCACAUAGGAUCUCUCCUUAUCUAUCAAGGUCGAUAGAUUCUUUAUAGGUGCAUACCCUACUCCUAC